rnacentral:rRNA from 1 species
AUGGCCUCCGCCUGCGAUCGUCUCCGCGACCUCACGGCCUUCGACGACACCAAGGCCGGCGUCAAAGGACUCAUCGACGCAGGCAUCACCACCGUCCCGGCCAUCUUGCGCCACCCGCCGGACACCCUGGCGCGCGCCCAAGACGAAGACCGCUUCGCGAUCCCAGUCAUCGACCUUGCUGGAGUGACGACGGCGCCGUCCAGGCAGGACGAGCUGGUGGCCGAGGUGAAGGCAGCCGCGGAGACUGUGGGCUUUUUCCAGGUGGUGAACCACGGCGUGCCGGGUUCGGUCAUGUCGGAGAUGCUCGCGGCGCUGCGGAGCUUCAACAAGGAGCCGGCAGAGGCGAGGCGCCCCUACUACUCGAGGGACAGGCGGAGCUGCGUGAGGUACCACAGCAACUUCAACCUGUUCCGCUCGCCGGCGGCCAACUGGCGAGACACGCUGUACCUGGACAUGGCGCCGACGGGGCCGCCCGAGGAGAUCCCGCCGGCGUGCAGAGGCAUCGUGGUGGAGUUCACGAGGGAGGUGCAGAGGCUCGGCGGCAUGCUUUUCGAGCUGCUGUCGGAGGCCCUGGGCCUCCAUCUCGGCUGCCUUGAGGGGCUGAGCGUCGUCGGCCACUACUACCCGGCGUCCCCGCAGCCGCACCUCAGCAUGGGCACGUCCAGGCACACCGACUCGUCGUUCCUGAAGGUGCUCCUCCAGGACACCGUCGGCGGUCUCCAGGUGCUCCACUGGCUCCGGCUGGAUGAGCAGCCGGUCUGGGUCGACGUGCCCGCCGAGCCCGACGCGUUUAUCGUCAACAUCGGCGACUUCCUUCAGCUGCUCUCCAAUGUUAGGUUCAGGAGCGUGGAGUACCGUGUCCUCUCCAAGAGCGUGUGUUGUGCACAGAGUUUUAAAUAG